rnacentral:rRNA from 1 species
AGGGAUCGGGUAGUCUGACGCAGCGUACCGCGUGAGGGAAGAAGCCCUUUGGGGUGUAAACCUCUGUCAGCUGGAACGAACACAAUGACGGUACCACCAGAGGAAGCAUCGGCUAACUACGUGCCAGCAGCCGCGGUAAUACGUAGGAUGCAAGCGUUGUCCGGAUUUAUUGGGCGUAAAGAGUUCGUAGGCGGUUAGUUAAGUCUGAUGUUAAAUACCGUGGCCCAACCCCGGACCUGCUUUGGAUACUGGCUAACUUGAGUGUGGUAGAGGUAAGUGGAAUUCCCAGUGUAGCGGUGAAAUGCUUAGAUUUUGGAAAGAACACCGGUGGCGUAGGCGACUUACUGGGCCGUAACUGACGCUGAGGAACAAAAGCUAGGGGAGCAAAAUGGGAUUAGAUACCCCAGUAGUCAGGAU